GUCCUUUUGUUANAUAUUUAAGGUCUGACCUGCCCAAUGAYWWAUUUAAUGGCUGCGAUAUCCUAAUCGUACAAAGGUAGCAUAAUAAUUUGUCUUUUAAUUGAAGGCUGGUAUGAAUGGUUGGACGAGAUAUAAUCUUUCUUUGUUUUAUUUAAAAAAUUUAAUUUUUGGGUUAAAAAGCUCGAAUUUAUUUAUAGGACGGAGAAGACCCUAUAGAACUUUAUUUAUUUUUUAGUGAAGGAUUUUUUGAUUAUUAAUUUCUUUUAUUUAAUUUUUAAUUUUGUUGGGGUGACAGGAAGAUUUAUUUAACUCUUCUUUAAUUUAUUUCAUUAAUUUUUGUUUUGUUUGAUCCAGUAUUAUUGAUUAUAAGAUUAAGUUACCUUAGGGAUAACAGCGUUAUUUUUCCGGAGAGUUCUUAUUGAUGGAAAAGUUUGCGACCUCGAUGUUGAAUUAAGAUUAUUAUUAGGUGUAGCAGCUUAAUUAAUAGGUCUGUUCGACCUUUUUAUUCUUACA
rnacentral:rRNA from 1 species